UACGAAGGGGGCUAGCGUUGCUCGGAAUUACUGGGCGUAAAGGGCUCGUAGGCGGCCAACUAAGUCAGACGUGAAAUCCCUCAGCUUAACUGGGGAACUGCGUCUGAUACUGGUUGGCUUGAGUGCAGGAGAGGAACGCGGAAUUCCAGGUGUAGCGGUGAAAUGCGUAGAUAUCUGGAGGAACACCGGUGGCGAAGGCGGCAUCCUGGACCGGCAUUGACGCUAAAGCGCGAAAGCCAGGGGAGCAAACGGG
rnacentral:rRNA from 1 species